CCUACGGGGGGCAGCAGUCGAGAAUCAUUCACAAUGGGGGAAACCCUGAUGGUGCGACGCCGCGUGGGGGAAUGAAGGUCUUCGGAUUGUAAACCCCUGUCAUGUGGGAGCAAAUUAAAAAGAUAGUAGCACAAGAGGAAGAGACGGCUAACUCUGUGCCAGCAGCCGCGGUACUACAGAGGUCUCAAGCGGUGUUCGGAAUCACUGGGCGUAAAGCGUGCGUAGGCGGUUUCGUAAGUCGUGUGUGAAAGGCGCGGGCUCAACCCGCGGACGGCAGAUGAUACUGCGAGACUAGAGUAAAGGAGAGGGAAGCGGAAUUCGCGGUGUAGCAGUGAAAUGCGUAGAUAUCGCGAAGAACACUGGUGGCGAAGGCAGGUUCCUGGACAUUAACUGACGCUGAGGCACGAAGGCCAGGGGAGCGAAAGGGAUUAGAUACCCCAGUAGUC
rnacentral:rRNA from 1 species